GACAAACGCUGGCGGCGUGCUUAACACAUGCAAGUCGAACGGAAAGGCCCUGCUUUUGUGGGGUGCUCGAGUGGCGAACGGGUGAGUAACACGUGAGUAACCUGCCCUUGACUUUGGGAUAACUUCAGGAAACUGGGGCUAAUACCGGAUAGGAGCUCCUGCUGCAUGGUGGGGGUUGGAAAGUUUCGGCGGUUGGGGAUGGACUCGCGGCUUAUCAGCUUGUUGGUGGGGUAGUGGCUUACCAAGGCUUUGACGGGUAGCCGGCCUGAGAGGGUGACCGGCCACAUUGGGACUGAGAUACGGCCCAGACUCCUACGGGAGGCAGCAGUGAGGAAUAUUGCACAAUGGGCGGAAGCCUGAUGCAGCAACGCCGCGUGCGGGAUGACGGCCUUCGGGUUGUAAACCGCUUUCGCCUGUGACGAAGCGUGAGUGACGGUAAUGGGUAAAGAAGCACCGGCUAACUACGUG
rnacentral:rRNA from 1 species